GGCCCGUUGGUCAAGCGGUUAAGACACCGCCCUUUCACGGCGGUAGCACGGGUUCGAAUCCCGUACGGGUCA
rnacentral:tRNA from 3 species